ACAGGACAGUGAAGAGGAAAGCAAAUGAUAAGAAGCAGGAGGAGGAGUAAGAGGAGGAACUGUGGCAGGAUCAGCGGAGUUCCCGGGAAGGACAGGAUAGGACAGGAGGCAGGGCGGGCGGGGGACAGGGAAGGAGGCGAAGGAGCAGCGUGGUGGUGAUGGUGGUGGCGGCGGAGGGUGGCUGGCUGGGGCGGGCGGGCGUCAGUGUUACGUGGGUCGGCUGUGUGGGAGGACGUACUCGGCUGCUCCAACGCGUCGCUUCACUGGCCGUCACACUUCGGAAUAAAGUUUCGUUUUAUUGCGAGUGGCAGUGACCGGCGGAAACUUCUUUGUGUGGGGAGGAACCUGAGCCGUUUCUCCUCCGUCUCUGGAACUGUAGUCGAAAGGUUGUGUGAGUGAUUAAAACUUCUUCGUAGUCCGCUGAGGUGUGAACGAUCCGCUUGUGGCAACCAUCAAGGGGCGGAAAAUAGUGAAGAAGAGAGAAGUAAAAAAGAGAACUGUAGUGUCGCAAGCUUUGAACGAAAGAACAGGAACGAAAGAAGGAAAGAAAGGGAGUGAGAGACGGUGAAGAUUGCAAACGGUGGAGGAGGCGAAGAAGGAAAAGUUAAGACAAGGAGAAGGAGGAAAAGAAGAGACGUUAAAGGAAAACAAGGAGGAGGAGGAGGAGGAGGAGGAGGAGAAGGAGAGAACAUUGCAAGGUGUAAGAGGCGAGACCAACAAGGGUGCCACUGUUGAGGGACAUAAAUAUUCACGGUCCGCGCCACAAGGGAACAGAGAGCGCCAGAGAGAGAGCCACAGAACCACGGCGAACCAGGUUGGCCUGAGAACCGCCAGCACCAGGAACUUUCUGUAAGACGAUCCGUGACCCUCCAGCGCCUCCACCAGCAGUAAACAGGAACGGAAUAGAAUAGUAAGAGGGAGAAUAGGAAAGAGGGUAAGAGAAAGUGUUUUUAGAAUAGCGAGAGUGAAAGAAAAAGAAGAAAAGGUGGUAUUAGAAAAGUGAUAAAGAGAAAUAGAAAAAAAGAGGAAAAGGAGGUCGUUUUAGAAGAGUGAGAAAGAGAAAAAAUAAGGAAAGAAGUGGUUUUUAGAAUACUGAGAAAAAGAAAGAAGGAAAGAAGGUGAUAUUGAGGGCAGACUCGACCCCUCUCCCUUCUUCCCUCCUCCACCUCCCUUCCUUUCAUCCUCCUUCUUCUUCUUGGGUUAUUUUCCUCCCCACACGAAAGUUCUGAAUUUUGGGGCGGAGUCUGGUGAUCAGGGCCCCCAACACACCCCGGAGGAGGCCAUAAUCGGGGCAUUUCCAACUUUCCCCGCCAGAUAAAAUGACUCAAUUGAAAACGUGAGAAAUCGACCCCAUCACGACCAUCACGACCACGAGCACGACCCACGACCCACGCCAUUCACAGAGAAGAGAACGAGAGAGACCGAGAGGAGAGGCUGGUCGUGUGUGAGGUAGAGGUGAGGGUUAGGCAAGGUGUGUGUGAGUGUGUUUGUGUGUUUGCCCCUUAUACAGAUACGUCCUGACCCACAUAUAGAACUGGGCAAACCUCAUACCCCAUACUGACCCUUGUCCCCUAAUUACUGGUGACCGAGAAACGAGAUAAAAAGUGAGACGAGAAAGAAAGACGAGUGACUUCUGCUCCUCAUACACCCACGAAGCAAGCCAUACGUUCUGACCCACAUCCAGAACUGGGCAAACCUCACACCUAAUACCCAUCCUUGUGCUCUUAUCAUUACUGCAGACCGAGAAACGAGAUAAAAAGUGAGACGAGGAAGAAAGAGUGACUUGUGCGCUGAAGUUCCACCACGUAACGACUUUUCACGAGGGAGAGAGAGAAGUGAGAGACGGAGAGUGAGACGUAGAUGGAGAGAGAGAGAGCACAACCUGGCAUCAUCAUCCCAUAACACCUGCAGACGGACACAUGCAGCCACGCAUCCUCCUCGGCCCUCAGACGUGAAGCGAGGAAACUUGAAACCUUCCCGCUUGCCUCGUCCGUUCGUCCCUCAAGAUGAAACAAAAACACAUCGAGGAGUAGGCCGGGUCUCCUCUCCUCCUCCUCCUCCAGCUGUUCCUCUUCCUCCUCCUCCUGGCCGGGUUGUUGCUCCUCCCUGGAUGGGCCUAGGCCUCGACCCCAUAAGUAGGCUCGCCAAAUAGGUCCAGGCGCCCCCCCAGCGGAAGGCCUCGCCCCUCAGAGACAAACAGGCGCCCGCAUUGAUCAGCUGUCGGGCUCACGUUACGGGCGUGUGUGUGUGCCCGAGAAAGCUGCCGCACACACACACACACACACACACACACACACACACACACACACACACACACACUCACACUCACACAGACCAUCCCAAACCCCACUUGAAUGAUAGAGAAAAAGUAAAAUAAUAAAAAGGAAAAGUAAGAACAACCUCAAGCUCCUCUCUCACUUACUCCAACUAGUCACUCACACUUAACCCCACCGUAGGAAGCAUGACCCAGCGUGACCCUUGAUCUCUCUCCGCCACUCACUGACCAUUCCGGGGGACACAGGAGGUCGCGGAAGGAAGCACGCACCAACACUUCCUUUCCGCCCCGCUCUCAAGGACUCGUCUCUGGGCAUAAGAAGGUGACAAACCAAAGAAUAGAGGAAGUUUGACAAUCAAGAUCCUAAUGAAGUUAUUGUGUUAGUUGAAGUUUUCGUCAUCUGGAGUGUCGAAGAAAAUAACUGAGGAGGGUGGACAGUGAAGUUGUGUUAGCUGAAGUUUUGCCAUAAGAAGUAUCGAAAAAAAAAAAUAACAAGAGAGUAAACAAGGAAUUUCCCGAAGUUGUGUUAGUUGAAGUUUUUGCCACCAGGAGUAUCGAAGAAAAUAACUGAGGGCGGAUAAGGAAGUUUUUGCUGAAGUUAUUGUACACGUUGAAAUUUUGCUACCAGACAUAUUGAACCAAGUUACCGAGGAGGGUGGAGGGUGAAGUUCCUGAAGUUAUUGUUAGUUGAAAUUUUGCCACCAGACAUAUUGAACCAAGUUACCGAGGAGGGUGGAGAGUGAAGUUCCUGAAGUUAUUGUGUUAGUUGAGGUUCCCGCCGCCAGGGUGUGAGGGGGCACGGCAGCCAACGAUCGUGAGGGGGCCGGGAUGGAGUGCCCCAGUACCCUCCUCCUGCUGUGGCUUCCUCCUCCUCGACUCUCCUCCUUCACCCCCUCCUCCUCCUCCUCCUCCUCGUGCCACACCUCGGCCUGAGUCACACUGUCAGGGGUGUGGAGAGUGCGUGUGUGUGCGUGUGCGUGCGUGUGUCGUCAUCUGAAGGGGCAGGAGAGGAAGGCGUGUCAGGAUGCCUCUCUUCACCGCGUGUGUGUGUCGGCGGGCGCGCAAGGGGCCAAGGAUCAGCCAUCCACUCCACCUUCUGCUACAGGUAAGCUUGGAGCGCGCACUUCAGUCCCCGCUAUCACCGUGAGUACACCUGAGCUCCUCACCUGCCCACUGAGACUCCACUUCAUCUCUUCCCAACCAACAAACACAUUCAGUUUCACUCAAAUCAAUUAUCAUCUGUCCUUAAGAGAGAUAAAUAAAGGAAAAAAUAAAAUGAGAGAAUAUA